ensembl:lncRNA
AGUUCUCCUGAGGAGGGUAAUAGCAAAUACUAUUCUAGAUGCCAAAGUGUGCUGUGCUAAGUUGCUUCAGUCAUGUCCAGCUCUUUGAGGCCCUAUGGACUAUAACCCACCAGGCUUCUCUGUCCUAGGGAUUUUCCAGGCAAAAAUACUGGAGUGGGUUGCCAUUUCUUUCUCCAGAGAUGCCAAGGAGGUAAGUUAAUUCAUUACAUAAAUGGAUAUCUUAGGCUAUUAAGACUUAGUUUUCUCAUGGCACCCCAGUUAAGAAGACCUGGUAUGGGGAACUGACACGAAGCCUGGCAUUUGCUUUAAAUUACUGGAGUGUGAGAUGGAUAAAACAAGGUUGGCAAAAUACUAAUAAUCUUUGGAUCUGGGUUAUGAAAACAUGGAGGUUCUUUAUGGUGUUUUCUGUCCAUUUUUGUAUGUGUAAAAGCUUCCGUAAUAGUCACUACAAACUUGGUUUUUCAAGAUGAGGAGGAGGUGAAACAGUUCUUUCUCAGGAGGAAAGAGGCCUAUUUUUUAUUUUUUUUCCUCUCUGUGUCUCUGUGGGGUGUGAGUUGGGGUGUAAAGGAAGAGAGGCGGGUCUCUUGCUUGGGAGGAGCGUUGUGUCUGUUCAGCCCUCCUUGCAGGCUCUUUUGUUCCUUCCUCCUCGGCUCACCCCUGACUGAUGGAGGGGAGCAGACUUGUCUUAGCUGGAAACCUCAGGGAAAUGUACUCAGCCAUUUCACAGCUUCUCCAUUAGUGCCUGCCUGGCUGGGAAAAGAUCUAAUCUCCGGUAAGAGAUCAUUUUGUUUGUUUGUUUGUUUGUAGUCUGGGUCUGGAACAGGCAGGAACAAAGGCCCAUUUGUCUCUAGGGCUCUGAUCUGGCAAGAUUCCCCCCUCCCCACCAGGCAAACACUUGUCAGUGCAGCCACUCAGUUACUUGGUGAGUCUCUCAUGGUUUCCUCUCACUCCCCACUCAGAGUCACCAGCUACAGGUUGGUUUCCAUUGCUUAUCACGUUUCUGAUUUUUUUCUGUCCUUUUGAGUAAAACUGGACUUGUCAGAAGUGUUUUGACACGACGACUAAGGUUCUGACCUCUGCUGGCUCCAUACAGUGGAGCUCAGUUGUUGGGACCUGAACGCUGUGUCUGACAGCAGCCUGGACCAGCUCUGCUGGGGACCCUGGGAGGUGAACCAGCUGCACACACCUCGAGCACUAUUGGUGCUGCUGGGGUUAAAUGACCUUCACUCAAUUGCAGGAAUUUUACCUUUUGUAUUGAUGAAGUAUUUAGCACAUGGUAAAAGUACAGUAAUUGUUAGCCAGAACAGAGUGAUGAAGUCUAUCAGUAGAAUGUCCGCACAGCCCUGGGGAGGCAAAUUUUAAAGUAUUAUUAUCCAUACUUCACAGAUGAAGACACAAGGCUUACAGAUGAUGGCAAAACUUGUCUAACAUCCGGCAACAUCUGACAGAUAGAAAAGCCAGGAUUUGAAUCUGGGAUUUUGAGAUGCCAGAGCCUGAGCUCUUUCUCCAAAGUUGGGGCUUCUCAAACUAGUGGUGGUGAAGGACAGGAUUUCUGCCCUAACCUCUCCCACAUCCAUAGUUUUUAAAAUACAAUAAAAUGGAGUUACUAGAAUAAUGAAAAGACAUUUACAAUAACAAGCUGUAUUUUUAAAGUUACUAUUAGACUCAACAGGCAUAAAAUUAUUCUUUCAAUUACACUCAGUUUCUAUGCUUUUCCCAUCCUGGAUCUUGAUAAAGCUUUCUCAGAUUAGCACUUUUGUUGGCAUCAGAAUCACUUGGGGUGCUUGCUAAAUGCAGUUUUCCUAGCUCCAUCUCUACUUGGAUCAGAAUGACUGAGGUAGAAUUCAGGAAUCUACAUUUUAACAACUCAUUUCAAUAAUGUGCUCUAAAUCUGAUCAUCAUUGUUCUCUGCAGUGCUGCCUCCUCUCUGCAGAUUAUAGAGAGUACACUAACAAGUGAAGUGAAUAUUAUGUUUUUUUAGUCUCCCAACCUGAGCCCUACUCUUCUUUUUAGUUUGUUUUUAAGUAUUAGAGACUCCUUUCUGCAGAAGCUCACCAACAGAACCUGUUUCUGAACUCAUUUAGUGCAUGUCAGUGUCAACAAAAAAGUAUAGUCACAGCCUGAAAGUAGAGAGUUAUUUUAUGUAGUGGGAAUGUUUAAGACUCUGAGUCUGGGAGACAGCAUCUCAGUAGCUUUGAGAAAACUGCUCCAAGGAGGCAGGAGUGACAUCAGGCUAUAUAAGUUUGCAACAAAGGGAGCAGGCAGUCUGAACAUCAAAGAUGAGGAAUCAAGUUAAGGAAUUUAGCCUUCUCCCUACAGGGAGAUGUAAGCCUCUGGGCUCACUGAGUUCAUUCCUUUCGUGUACACCUCAGCUAUCUGGGGCCAAUCCUGUCUCCUUGCUCACCUUGCUGCUUAACCUCUCCCACAUCCAUAGUUUUAAAAUACAAUAAAAUGGAGUUACUAGAAUAAUGAAAAGACAUUUACAAUAACAAGCUGUAUUUUUAAAGUUACUAUUAGACUCAACAGGCAUAAAAUUAUUCUUUCAAUUACACUCAGUUUCUAUGCUUUUCCCAUCCUGGAUCUUGAUAAAGCUUUCUCAGAUUAGCACUUUUGUUGGCAUCAGAAUCACUUGGGGUGCUUGCUAAAUGCAGUUUUCCUAGCUCCAUCUCUACUUGGAUCAGAAUGACUGAGGGUAGAAUUCAGGAAUCUACAUUUUAACAACUCAUUUCAAUAAUGUGCUCUAAAUCUGAUCAUCAUUGUUCUCUGCAGUGCUGCCUCCUCUCUGCAGAUUAUAGAAGUACACUAACAAGUGAAGUGAAUAUUAUGUUUUUAGUCUCCCAACCUGAGCCCUACUCUUCUUUUUAGUUUGUUUUAAGUAUUAGAGACUCCUUUCUGCAGAAGCUCACCAACAGAACCUGUUUCUGAACUCAUUUAGUGCAUGUCAGUGUCAACAAA